rnacentral:rRNA from 1 species
UACAGAGGGUGCGAGCGUUAAUCGGAAUUACUGGGCGUAAAGGGCGCGUAGGCGGUUAUAUCAGUGUUAUGUGAAAGCCCUGGGCUUAACCUGGGAAGUGCAUAGCAAACAAUAUAGCUAGAGUAGAUGAGAGGGUGGUGGAAUUUCCGGUGUAGCGGUGAAAUGCGUAGAGAUCGGAAGGAACAUCGAUGGCGAAGGCAACCACCUGGCAUCAUACUGACGCUGAGGCGCGAUAGCGUGGGGAGCAAACAGG